rnacentral:lncRNA from 1 species
GGAGAGGAGACAAUUGGGAAUUGAGGGUAGGUGUAGGGUUGUUAGGGGUAUUACAACGCUUUGCUCGUAACUCUGAUGUGAGUUUGUCUAUUAUUGGUGACAUUUGUGAGUUUGUAGAGAUUAAUAAAUAAUCUUUUUAUAAUAGUAACUGAUCUACAAAUUUCACUAUACAAUUUAUGAGGAUAUACAACUUUUGUCCUGUUAUCAGGAUCCC